GCCGGGCAUGGUAGUGGGUGCCCGUAAUCCCAGCUACGUGGGAGGCUGAGGCAGGAGAAUUGCUUGAACCCAGGAGGCAGAGGUUGCAGUGAGCCAAGAUCGUGCCACUGCACUCCAGCCUGGGUGACAGAGCGAGACUCUGUCUCAA
rnacentral:SRP_RNA from 2 species